GUAGAAACUGACACUUGUGCUAUAUUUUAUCAUUUUCCUCCUGAAUGGAAGUACAAAGAUGUUUUUGGAGCAUACAUCAACCUUUAAAAUCAGCUUUAGUAGAUUUUAUGAUGUUACAGGACUGCCUCAAAACAGGUUCCACGACUGAAGCUAGUGACUUCUCUUCUGAGUCACAUUUUUAAGCGUGGGGUCACAGACAGUGACAUAUUUGGAAAGCCAGGAGAGAAGAAGGGUGUUUCCAAAAUCAAAACAAAUGCCAACAACACUGUUGCAGCUUCAGUCUGCUCUAAAGAUAAUUAGCUGAAAAAUAACACUGACUGCUUGAGGUAUUAUUCAACAUGAGCUGUUUUAAAAGCUCUGAAGGUUGUUAAACAAUGAAUGUAACAUUUGAAACAAUGUGAAAUGAGCUCACUAUCAUGUCAGGUACUGGGAGGAACCUGCAUCUAACAUCAUUCAACAGAGAGAGAAUCAAACUGCUCUACAAGGGGUGAUAUCUUUUUCAUCUCCUGCAACGCCCUUCUUCAACUAUUUGCCGGCAUAAUUAGCUGGCAUAAUCAACACUGUACUGCUUUGUGGUGAUAACAGUGCACAUCACUUUGUGUAACUGUAGACUGAAUAGAGAGCAAAGGGGGUGACUCUCACUCAGUUCCAGAGCCAAGGUUAAUCAAUACAGCUGACCCAAAGCAGCACAAGGCUAACAGCACAUGAUCUAAAGAGCAUACUAAUUCAGUCCUGAUAUAUUGAUGAAUUUUAAAAGAAUCGCUGGUUUUAUGAAAGAGCUGCCAGGGCCAUGCUUUUGUUUCAUAGGAUACAUACUUCUGCUCCUCAGUUCAGGGUGUGUCAGGCCUGAGACUAGUUUUCAUUGAAAUUUAGAACAGAGACGUGCAAGGACAUACACAAGUGACCACAUCUGAGGAUUUAAAGCAGUGCAAAUGAAAACAGUCCCCUGUGUUUGUUGUUACUAAUGCCCCAUGUUUGCAGUGUGGUGUUACUCACCAGCUCUCUCUGUUAGUUUAAAUCAAAAAACAACACAAUCUCCUGGCUACUCUAAUUAACUUUAACUGUCAUGUUUCCCUGUUUACUUUGUGGUGACACAGAUGAAGCUGCCGGCUUGGUGAAAGGCCAUGUUGUUGUUUUUUUCUUCUCAAAAACCCCUGCAGACUUUUUCCUUCUUACAUCUAACUCACUAUCAUUACAUUUCUUUGAGCAGUGGUUGGCAAUUUGUGUCGAUUGUUUCCCUGGAUUAUUCAUGUCAGCUGUCACUGAGCACAUUUUGUGCAGAACACAAGUAUCUUUAAUUAAGUGUAGCGUUCUUCUCAGGGUGUGCCUGAGAAAGAAAAUAACUGACAAUACGCCCUCUCUUGUAAGUUUAGACCCACUCCCAUCCCAUCUUCAACCACGUGAGUGUAACACUGCAGCAUUUAGCAAAUUACAGUGGAGAGGAAGAACUUUAUUUAAAAGGCAGAAGCCUCGAGCAGAACCAGACUUAUGUUAGACAGUCAUCUGCUGAGACUGAGCUGGGGUUAGAGAGGGGACAAAGGGAGAAAGAGAGAGAUGGACAGAGGAGAGACUAAUAAAGGGAGAUGAAGAAAGCGAGAGAUGGACAGAGUAAGCCUGAUGCAGGUAGUUGAAAAGAGGGAACCUAUGGCAUGAUGGAGCUCAGGGACUCCUAUCAACUAAUGGUUGAUUUCAUUACUUUGUACAACCAGCCUUUCUCAGUCAGUAGUGAAUGCAGUAAGUCCUGUCUCCUUGACCCCACAUUUCACACCCUGUCCAUUUGUACAGCAGAGGUCAAUCUAUACUUUUACCAUAAAUUAACGAAGGAAAGUGAUAUACUUGGUUUAGCAGCAAGGUGCC